rnacentral:rRNA from 1 species
UCGCCCCGGAUCUGCUCGCACGGCUGAUCAGAUCUUCAUUGAGUCUGUCGUCGUGUUGCAGUGGCCUGGGCGCACUAGACAUCGUGCUUGUCUGCAGCCGUUCGAACAAAGCCAGGCCCUGGAAAGAAAACAGUUGUGCUGCGUUGCASACAACUAACACCUU